UUAAACUGAAAAAGGCCGAACAAGAAAUCAUUACCUUGCAAAAUACUGUUUCUCGUGUUGAAAUGCAAGUCGAAAGGUACAAGAAACAAUUGGAACAAGCGGAGAAAUCGGAAGACGAAUUGAAAACAGACAAAAGGAAAAUCUUGAGAGAGUUUCGAGAAGCUCAAGCCAGAAUUGAAGAAUUGGAAACAUCAAAUGCACAUUUACAAAAGCGUAUUGAUAAACUUAAAAACAAUCGAAUUGCUGUAAUAAAUUCGUGAUGAGAGUCCGAACAAUUACCAUCAUCAUCAUCCAUCUUUCCUCCCACAAUUACAAAUGAAAAUCUUAUCAAUUUGAUAAUUUUCUUUCCUUUUUCUUGGUCUAUUUUCCUACAAACCUUAAUCAUCUCUAUUAUUGUUUUACUCUCCAUCCUUUGCACUAUUUAUCUUCCUUGUUUAAAGACUGUGAUCAAUAGACAAGACUUUCACCACAACCACCUAAUCUUCAUCAUCAUCUUCACCACCAACAUCAUCAUCAUCAUUUUCAUGAUUGAUCCUCAAAUCAACCGAUUAUACCAACAACAAUAUUUGAAUGAGAACAGAAAAAAAAAGUUAAAUCUUCUAAUUACUAAUAAUUGUGCCAAAAAUAACGGCUAAAGGCUUAAGAGGAACACAAAAGGAACCCAAACAACACGAUAAAAAUAUUAACAAUGAUCCUGAAUCAUUACUAUUAUUAUUAUUAUUAUUAAUUAAUAAUUAUUAUUAUUUCUAUUAUAUUACUAUUAUAAAUGUA